AUUAUUAGGGAAAUGGCAAUUUUCACGAACAGCCUUUGGUAUUUGGAAUUUUUUGCUUUCGCUAUAAUUUUGAUUGGAUUUUUCUUGUACGUGGUUUAUUUAGGGGCUAACUCCCCUCCCUACAACACUCGGUACGACAUGAAAAGAAAAUACCUCUUUGACGGAACAUGGCUAGCGCAGUGAAAAAGCAUUGUAUUGAAUAGAACAAGUUCUCAUGUCUGAUCAACGAAAUCGACAAAAUAUAGAUACGAGUAUCAGGAAUCCAGAAGAUGUGAUUAAACUUCAGAAGCUGAAAGUAAAAGUGGACACCCGGCCAUUCUAUUGUGACCCUAGCUGCAUAUGGUUUUUAAGACUAUUCUUCAGUAUAGCUACCAUUGCCGUGUGUUAUUUUUUCGCUUACACUUUCAUCACACAUACAAAGUUACGAUUUGGACUAUUUAUUCCUUGAGUGGCUGAAAAUUUAUUCAUAUAGGUACAGAUAAAACCUAAUUGCGCAUUUUAUUAGAUGCGAAAUGUGUUUGCAAAAAUUUUAACGAUGUUUAUAUGAAAAUAAAUAUAAUAUGUAAUAUA